CCCCCUAUAGCUCAAAUGGUUAGCAGCACCCGACUCAUAAUCGGUAGGUUACAGGUUCAAGCCCUGUUAGGGGGACCA
rnacentral:tRNA from 1 species